rnacentral:rRNA from 1 species
UACGUAGGGGGCAAGCGUUGUCCGGAUUUAUUGGGCGUAAAGAGCGUGUAGGCGGCUUUACAGGUCCGUUGUGAAAACUCGAGGCUCAACCUCGAGACGCCGGUGGAAACCAUCAGGCUAGAGUCCGGAAGAGGAGAGUGGAAUUCCUGGUGUAGCGGUGAAAUGCGCAGAUAUCGGGAGGAACACCUGAGGCGAAGGCGGGCUACUGGGCCGAUACUGACGCUGAGGCGCGAAAGCCAGGGGAGCGAACGGG